AGCAGCCGCGGUAAUUCCAGCUCCAAUAGCGUAUAUUAAAGUUGUUGCAGUUAAAAAGCUCGUAGUUGAAUUUCGGGAUCAUCAGGUUGGUCGUGCCUCUGGUGUGUACUGAUUUCGAUGGUUCCUCCUUCUUGAAGAACCGUAAUGCCAUUAAUUUGGUGUUGCGGGGAAACAGGACUGUUACUUUGAAAAAAUUAGAGUGUUUAAAGCAGGCAAUCGCUUGAAUACAUUAGCAUGGAAUAAUGAAAUAGGACGUUCGAUCCUAUUUUGUUGGUUUCUAGGAUUGACGUAAUGAUUAAUAGGGAUAGUUGGGGGCAUUAGUAUUCAAUUGUCAGAGGUGAAAUUCUUGGAUUUAUUGAAGACUAACUACUGCGAAAGCAUUUGCCAAGGAUGUUUUCAUUAAUCAAGAACGAAAGUUAGGGGAUCGAAGACGAUCAGAUACCGUCGUAG
rnacentral:rRNA from 1 species